UACGGAGGAUGCAAGCGUUAUCCGGAUUUAUUGGGUUUAAAGGGUGCGCAGGCGGCUUCUAAGCGGGAGGUGAAAUGCCGGCGCUCAACGUCGGAAGUGCCUCCCGAACUGGUGGGCUGGAAUGACACUGCCGUGUGAGGAAUGUGUAGUGUAGCGGUGAAAUGCUUAGAGAUUACACAGAACACCGAUUUCGAAGGCAUCUCACGAAGGGUUGAUUGACGCUGAGGCACGAGAGCGUGGGGAUCAAACA
rnacentral:rRNA from 1 species